ensembl:lncRNA
CAACCCUCAGAUAAAAACAUGAAAUAAAAUCUGUGUUUGAAGGAAGUCCUUAUAAAUUAGGAGAGCUUUUCAUGUAUGUUUCUUCCUGAUCCAACAUCUCAGUGAGGUCACCAGGCAGGAAACUAUUUAUCGCCAUUUUAUAAAUGAGUCACUGAGGCUCUGGGAGAGAGGUAUCAAUGCAAAGCCAGUAAGAAGUGGAAACCUCUCUCCAACCCAGAUAUUCUCACUCCAAGUCCAGAAUAUUCUUCACAAGUGCACAGAGGUUCAUGGCCCACGUGCAGAGCAGAAAGUCGGAAACUCCUCCUUUAGAACCGGGUAAUUUGGUUCUUCAGCUCUGGGGCCUCAGUUUCCCCAUCUGCACUAUCACUGCAGCAUUAGCUAAAGUAAAAGACCCGCUUGGGUGUAAGGGAUGGAUGACAUUGCGUCACUAGAGCGGGCUCAGCUCUGUCACGGGGGAUGCUGACAGCAGGGCGCUCUUGAGCUGACGUGCCCACAGCCCUGGCACUCAGCUCCCAGAAGUCGCCCGUCGAUCCUGUCCCCACGGCCCCUCUCCACAGGGACAGUCCUCACCUGUCACAAGUGUCCUUGGAUGAUUCCCUGUCAUUUUCUGCAAGAGCACGUGGGUAGACUGCUCCACUCUCGACCACUUUGGGCUUGUGGAUGAGUGGCCUGAGUCUUCGUUCAUCCAUCGGACAGUUAUUGAACGCUUCCCCGUGCCGACCAUCUCGCAGGCUUCUGCGGAUGGAGAGAAGGCAAACGGGUGAGAUCCCUGCUCUUUGGGAGCCCUCUGUCCAGUGAAAGGUGCCCGUGAGCAGGACCCCAGGAGAGCGAAGGAAGCACAAAGCAUGCAGCAGCUGGGGAGGCUCAGCUUCACAGGGGUAACAUUGGACCUGGGCAUUGCAGCGUGAAUAGGAGCUGGCCAGAGGGAGAUGGAGGGAAAGCCUCGAGAGAACAGCACAGUUACAAGGGUGGGGUUCGAGGCGAUGGUGAGAAGUCCACCAGGCUGAGUGUGAAAGUGGGGUGCCCCAGGCUGUGAAGACUCUUGAGGCUGGGCUGAGGAGCCGGUUCCAUCCUGUCCUCCGGUCACUCCAGCAGGGUUGGCGGGUCAGAUGUGCCGAGCCCCUACCUCUAGCUGCACCCAGGAUGAGGGAGGGGAAGAGCUGACUCCCAGGAUCCUCCCAUGGGCCUGGUAUCCACGAGAAGCCCUCCCUAACCCCACCGUGCUCGGGAUGCGGGGUGGCGAUGCCUGGCCCAAACCACUCAACCACUCAACCACGGCGGCUGAUUCCGUUUCCCUAGCCCUUCAAGCCCACGGGCAGUUGAUGCUUGGUGCACAGACUAGGGGCUUUCACCUGUGGGGCGGGAAAAGCACCUCCACUGAUUUGGGGUUGAACUUUUUCCUGCUAUCUUGUCAACUUAUUGCUCCACAACUUAUGUAAAGUAUUUCUCUGCCUUAGUUCAGGCUUUCAGACCGUGGCAGACAGUGCUCCACAUUCCUGCUCAUCUGGUUAUGCCCCUGCUUAAAUGACUUCAAUAACAACGAUGGUAACAGUAAUAGUAAUGACAGCUACCAUGUGCAAGCUACCAGUGCUUCCUUUGUGCCGGCACCGCCUGAGGCCCAUUCACAGUGGCUCUUGACCAUUAUACUUCCUGCCUCUUGCCAAUUACCUCCCUCCAUGCUGGGAUCCCUUCCACAAAUGAUGUGACUUUGGAGUCCCUUUAAAAUCCAAAGCUUUGACACUAAGCCUAGAUUCAAAUCUGAGUGGGUUGGGAUAUUGGGUUCGGCUGUGUAAAUGUAACAGAUGCUCAAAGUAACAGUGAUUUAAACAAGAUGCCAGUCUUUCCCUCUGGUGUAGAAGUCCUUGCAGGCAUGCAGCUCUGCUCUGCAGAGCUGCCAGAGGCCCGGGCUCUUUCUGUGCUUUGCUCUCCCUGAGGUGUCCCCUGCUUCACGGGGUUCAUGACAGGCCAACACAUCCAGGGUUUAGGGACACAACCCAGAAGUCCCUCAGACCAGCUGCAUUCAGAUCCUACAGCCAGAUCUUAGCUUGAGGCUACAGGCAGGUGCAAGUGAGGCUGGGAAUGCAGACUACUCUGGGAGGCAGGCUCAAGUUCCAUUAGUGUGGAAGGAAGAACUGAUACUGGGGUUCAACCAGAAGGCCUUCAAACUACUGGUUUUUAGCUGUGUGCGUUCCUCCUGGUCCUUCAAAAGCGAUGCCAAGAUGGGAUUAGCUGUGCAUGAGAUUUCUCCGGGAAUGCGGGUUUUGGGGCAGUGGACACACCUGAGCGGAGCUGUGCCUUAGAAAGCUUCAGACAACACUGAACUUCACCGCAGACGCUCCCCGCAGGCCUCCGGGAAUAUCAGGAAGCGCUUUCAAAAACAAACCCACCUCCUCUUAGGGCUGGCCCCGUGGCCGAGUGGUUAAGUCCGCGCGCUCCGCUGCAGGCGGCCCAAUGUUUCGUUGGUUCGAAUCCUGGGCGCGGACAUGGCACUGCUCAUCAAACCACGCUGAGGCAGCGUCCCACAUGCCACAACUAGAAGGACCCACAACGAAGAAUGUACAACUAUGUACUGGGGGGCUUUGGGAGAAAAAGGAAAAAAAAAUAAAAUCUUUAAAAAAAAAAAAAAACCCACCUCCUCUUUCUGAAAUGGUGGAGAUGACUUGGCAAAAAGGGCCCAUAUGGCAAGAUGCAGAAAACAGAACUUGAGAUGGAAGAUGCAGGGUCAGGAGACGAGCAGAUGAAGCCAAGCGGGUUACUCUGGUUCAGCGGGCACGAGCUUGGGCAGCUGGUGGCCACAUCUCCGUGGCUCUGUGGCUCCCAGGUGCCGUCUCCCCCCUCGGACGGGGUGGGAGGGUCACAUGUUUCUGGGGAACGGUUUCUCUUUCCAAAACUGCUGACUAAUAAGGGGCAUUCAAAAGAAGAAGUUUGUUUCUUAAAACAAAUAUUCAAUUCAACUGACUUUAGUGAGCACCUGCGCCAGGCCUUGGACUUUGCCCCAGGGAAUCAGAGUGAGCAAAACAUAGCCCCUGCCCUUGAGGGGCCCCUGGGCAAGACACAUGUUAGUAGCCAGCACUGGACAGCAGCGCCUCGUGAUGGGUCUAAGGGACAGGGACACUCAGGGGAAGAGGAGUUCAAGCCGUGCGGUGGGAGUGCUAGUGGGCAGUGCAGACAAGGGAAAAGGGCACGAGGACGUAGAGGGUGAGUUCCACAGGCACGGUCCUGCUAGAGGGUGCAGGGCAAGGAGGAAGCAGGAGGUAGGACGUGGAUCUGGAGGGGCUAUGGGGCCAGAGCACCCACAGCAUGAGGGCUUUACCAUGAGGCACUAGGGAGCCACUCAGAGCGUAUAAAGCAGGGUGGCGGAUCAGAUUUGAAUUUCAGGACUAUUGCGCCAAGGAGCAGGGUCGGCCUGGACCGAGGGGCUGGGCAGGAGGUGCUUCACUCAUCCUACCCCUCUCCCACUAGACUUCCAGCCCUCCAAAAGGAGAACAGUGCCUUUCCUGUUUCCUCAACACCAGGUCGUGCCCGAUCACAGGGCAGGUGAUGGAUAAAAGUUUACUGAAUGCAUACAUGAGGGGAUGCAUGAAAUAUACAUUUAGACCAACAUUUUCCAAAAUAUGUUCCCAAACCAAAAGACUAAUAGCUGAUAAAUUUCUCAAAGGAGAGAUAAACGUGCCAGUUCUUUACUUACUGCUGGUCUGGGCCAGGUCCUUGCAUGCACGAUUUUGUCCAGUUUAAUGCUUACAGCAACCUUCCAUCCCCACUCAGUAAACAAAUAGCAAAAACGGAAGCUCAGAGAGUUUACUGUCUGGUCAGAGACAUUAAAUGUCAUGGUGGAGACAAAAUUUGAAAUCAGAUAUUAUUAUAUCAAGUCCCAUGCUCUUUCUACCAUACAGCACACACCUGCAAGUAAAUAAGCACAUAUUCAGGCAUUCAGGAAAAGCAUAUUCUGCAUCUUCAGGGUGUGUGUGUGAACAUGUGUGUUUGCCAGCCAUCGUUGGAGAUUUUCCGUUGAACCGUUGUAUAAAUGGGGGUGGUUUGCUCAGGAGCAGCCCUGCCAGAGUCACAGGAAAUCCCGCCUGAGGUGUCAGCAGAGAAGACACCAAACAUACAUCCAGAGAAGCCCGGACCAGUUUGGUUUGCUAAGACAGAGGCUGCUCGGCCAAGGGGAGAACACAUGCUCCAGCUGUUGUCUGCAACUGGUUUUCAGCUGGAAUGUUGUUAAAUGAAAUGAUCUGCCCUCUAAACAUGUGUGUUUUCAAUUAAUCUCCUUUCCAAGCAGAACAUGUCAUCUCCAAGGGAUGAUAAAUCACAGGGAAAUCCAAAGAGAGGUGUUGCUGUGGCCCCUCUCUGCCACUCUCAGGGGCUGUCACGCAGGGAGGCUGGACUCUGACGGUGCCCCCUGGUUGGGUCAGUGCUGUGGUGACAGGACAAUGGCCAGAGCUGCCCUCUGUGGCAGGUAACAAGCCUCCUGCUCAUAGGGAGACAAAGUUCCUGGGAGCUUGAGGACAGGUGUGCAGCCUUGCUUGCUGUCUACCCUGGUUCUCAGAGCACUUUCCAAAGAGCUUCCAUGGUGACGUCAUCAGGUCCCAAGUGGGGAAACGGAGGUAAGCUGUAACCCAGCACCUGGCCCGAGAGCAGCCUCUGGCUCUUGAGGUUAUGGCUAAUCCUCCCCACAGCCUGGACACUGCUGUGCCGCUCCGUCUUACGCAGGAGGAGACCAGCGCGGCAGGACCUGGUUACCUGCCCAAGGUCAUACAAGCUGAAAGUGGCCAAGCCAAGAUUUGAACCAGGUUUAUCUGGGUCCAAAGCCAUUGCUUCUGGGAGCCGAGUGAGAGAGCCGGGUCUGUGAUGCUGUGAUGAGGAAACUGAGGCUCCGAGGCUCCUGACAUGCUGAACUCACCCAGCUGGAAAGUGGAAAGUGACAGAGCAGGGAUGUGCUCUUCCCACCUGACUGCACUGACGGACCAGAGUGGGGCUGCUGGGAGUCGAAACUGCCAAGUGUGGCUUGUCAGGGCCCUUGUCUGCAGCAUGCCCAAAACUGAAAAAUAAAUUGACUCAAGGGAGGGCGUUAGCCGGAUGGCGGGCCUGUGGGAGCUCGGUAUUUUUAGUCAUUUUGUCAUACAGACCAGGAUGGAAAGAUGAGAAACCACAGGGGCUGGCACACGCCUCGGGAUGAACUCAUGAGCCCAAAAUAGGUGGAGCCGAAGCCCUCAGAUGCUGGUCGUGGGGCGUCUGUGCUGACAAGCCACAGAAGUGCUAGGUUCUUUUUUGUGUUUUUCUGGGGCCCCAGACCUCUUUUAGAAGGUUGUAAUCAAAGGAUAUUUGAGCUAGAAAGAACCUUGAAGAUUUCAGAGUCUACUCCCUCUCUUGUACUAACAGGGAAACUGAGGCUGAGAGAAGAGCAGUUUCACAAACAUGAGCAUCAGAGCCAGGCCCUGUCCAGGCCCCUCAGCCGCAUCCUUCCCCCACGCCCCUCUGCCUGCCCGCCAGCCCUUACCCUGGCUGCCUCGCCCAUCCCAGGUGAGGAUGAGGCCGAGGCCGAGUGUGGAGAGUGCAGCUGCCAUGCAGGGAGCUAGAAAGCCCCGGCUCCGAUUCAGCCCCUUCGCUUGUGAACUUAGUGACCGUGGCUCUGCUGCUUUACCUUUUCUAUGAUGCCCAUUUCUCAAAUCACGAUGUUAUGGCUUUUUGUGAGAUUAUGAGACAAUAUAUAAACGUGACUUCCUGCUCCACCAACUUGGGGGAAUUUCUGGAAGGAGGGAGGUAUGUGAGGUGGUGUAGGAGACCCGUUGGUACCCUCCCACCAGCCAGUCCCUCCUUCCUCCCUCCUGGCAGAACCAGAUCGUGUCUGGGAGCUUCUCUCAUGGCAGGUGCCUCAAAGUGGUGGUCAGCCCCCAGGACAGGAGCAUCAGGAUGAUUGUAGUGACCUCAUUCUCCCGGCCAGGAACUGUUCAGUGUGUGCUUGCAAAACGGUUCUGACGAAUAAAAGAUGAAAGGACAUCUGCUGGAGGCUUCCAGGGAAGGUUCCUCCCUGAUUAAAAGGAUAAAAAAUCACAUGGGAAGAAACAGUCUCUGGAAAUUGUCAUGAAAAUGUGACAACUGGGUCUAUUACAGCUUCACCAUGAGGGGGUCAACCUGAGGACAGAGGAGAGCAGAGCAGAAAGAUGAAAAGAACCUGGGUCCUCGACAAGGGCCUUGCCUCUGACUGCUUGCUACAUGAGAUCACAAAUUCCUCGUCAUUUAAGCCAUUUACCUCAGAGGCUUUUGAUAUUUGAAGCCCAGAUCAUUCUAUCUGCUCCAGAUGAGUCCGGACAGAAGUACAUAGUAAUUUUACUUUUAAUGCCAAGGCUGACUCAGGACUUGACUCUCCUUGAGGCCCUUUCAAAAGACAGUGCAACCUCAUUAAUCCAGCAAAAUCUCCCUCUUUUAUGUGAACUUCCUGACGCAGCCUUUUAGCCCCUUGCUCCCGAGGGCUGCGUGUCGUGUUCAAGGCAUAUCACACUUAGAUCACAGGGUCAGCCAGGACAAUGAUGCCAGAAGACAUGGUGAGUGAUGUUUGCAUCAGUGGGUGUUAACCUGGUGGUGCUGGGCACCAAGCCCCACCCCAGCAAAUCACGAGGUUGGGGAGCUCGGUCUUCUGGGUCCAUCCCCUGGUCUGACAGUCCUCUUCCCACCUUGUGGUUCCAGCAUCCUCCUCGUGUUCUCUCACCAUUCCUCAACCGGGACCUGCCCUUGGAGGGUGGGCAGGAUCAAAUUUCCAGUGAGCAGGAGCUCAGGGGCUCAGUUCUGGCUCAGGUGCGAAUUCCCUGGAGAGGAGCCACGUCCCCAGUCUGAGCCUCGGUUUCCUCACCUAAUCAAUGAUGAGGUGGGGUUAUAGCAAGCCCUACUUCAACCAGAACAGCUCUGCUGUUGUUUGUUUAUGUGUCUGGGUUAGGUCUUAUUUCUGCCCCAAAAGUUUUAAAACCACUGGAUAAGAUUACCUUUAAGGGUCUUUCCAGAUCUAAGGUCCUUUCCUACCCGCCAUGGGUGACUGGGAACUAUCUAAAGCAAGGUUUGCGACACAGAUAUCCACAGGGCAGGGCAGGUGACGCGAACAAGAGAAGAGGGCCCAGGGGGAGGCAGCAGGGAACGGUGAGAACUAGAGUGAACACAUGCAUCUGAGCAGACCCACUGUAUUUAGUUGUUGCUUUGAGGGAAUUCAGGAUCGGGGUUCCCAGAGUUGAUCAUUUUUCAAGAGAAGCCAGAAAUCUGGAUUUCUACGGGAAAUAUUUGGAUACAAGCCAAAUAAAGCAAAUGUAGCUUGUGGGCUACCAAUUUGCAAUCCCCCAUCUGUAGAGUGACUCCCAUACAGAAGGACUGUUGAGUCGAGGGAAGGAAUAAAAGUAUAAUUAGAGUGACUGUUUAUUCAGUGUCUCUUGAGUGCCAAGCCCUGAGCCACGAGCUUCGUGGACAUCAUCUUGUUCAUUCCUUGCCACGACCCUAUGGCCUCUGUCUGAGUCCUUUGCCAGAGUCUGUGUCCCACCCUGUCCCGUCCCUCGCAGGUCAGCUUUGGCCUGCGAAGCCCUGCAGUUUUUCUGUCCCUCCCAGGGGCAGCCAGCCCUGAGCAUGCCCCUCAAACUGCCUCCCUGCUCUCUUCCCCUUCCAGUUGAAGGACAGAGUUUAAUUUGGGAGCAGGCUGGAGAGGGGGCCCGUGAAGACGUGGCCGAGGUCGAGGGGAGGCAGUGGUGGGAGGAAGGGGAAGAGUGGUGACCAGACUGUCAAUUCCAGCAUUGUCAAAUGUGGAGUCCCAGCUGGCCCUGACUCCAUUCUUUGCCCUAAAGGCCCAGGUGAGUAGGUGGGAAACCAGGAAGGGAGAAAAAUCAAGUUACUGAGCAACUCCUGUGCCCCAAACCCUGUCCUUUAUGUAUGUUGCUUCAUUUAAUCCUCACAACAACUGAAUGAGGGUAAUAUCCCCAUUUUACAGACGAGGAGACUGAGGCUGAGAGGGUGGAAAGCAUCAAAUCCAGGCCAGAAGUCUGGCCAGUUUAGCUCCAAAGCCUGUGCUGCCCUUCCAGAUCGCGUCAAGCUCAGGCGGGGUAGUUAACUGGACUAGUUACAGCUCCCACGCAAGAGGGGUUUUACUGCACUUGUCCCUUUAGAAAAAAUAUCCAUGGUCCCGGAUAUCCAUAUGCCUGCCCCGCUAGGAAGAGCGAGGCUGCGGCUGCAGCUCAGAGCCCCCCACUUUCCUGGACAGGUGGGGACGUGCUUCUUCCCACUGUUCUUGGCUAGGAGUGGCCCCAGCCCAUGCCUGCUGUGUCGCCUCUGCUCCUGUCAUUCCUAGCUGGUCCCCACGAUCAAGUGGGGAACAGCUGGUGGCUGGAAUAGCAGUACGUGUGCUCAAGUUUGUCUGUGUAACUCUGGGUGCAUGUGUCUGUCUGUCUGCCUGUAGCUAAAACCAGACUGUUGGGGGAGGUGGGUGUAUGUGUAUUUACGUCACUAAGUCUCAAGUGGGAGUAAGUGUGUGUGUAUGUGUGUGUGUGUAACCUAAGUUUGUUUGUAUCCAUGUUUCUGUCUAUCUGUCUGUGAGGGAGUGAGGCUAUUCAGCUGAGGCCCCCGUAGCUGGAGCAGCUGGCUCCUUUGAACCAGCGUGAGGAGGUUGGCAGCCCCACCAGAUGCCUGGUAGGAAUCUGCCAGGAUUAGCUGUGAAGCUGCCCUGCUUUCCUCCCAGAUGGGUCUGGACAGGUCUGGAUGAAUCACAAAUUCUGAAUCCCCUGUGGGCCCAUUUUCCUUCGUAAAACUCUCCGUCUGCUGGAAUGAGCAAAGUAAAAGCAGAUUGAGCCUGCGUUUGUAGGAGCCUCCUGAAAUAAAAUGUCCUGAUGUCGCCUCAGAGCCCACUGUGUUCUUGGGGUGUCAGGGCCACCGGAGUUCAACCCCGCUCUUCCUGGCAGGUGGCCGAGGUCUGAGCAUCUCCUCCGUAACACUCUUCUGUCCUGUGGUCCCCAGCCGGGAAAGACUCCACUAAACAGGUGCUAAAAGGGCACGGACACCACAGGGCACACACAACCAUUCUGUCCUCCUGUCUCUCUCUUCCACUCGUCAUUUGCUAAGGGACCCUGGAACUGGUGCCUCCCCGACUCUCACCUUCACGUGUAAAGACCCGUAAGCUCUAUGUGUGACAGGGGCCCAGAGGUCCGACUUCUCAGGAGAUUUAGAGUCCUCCUCUCCCUCCAGGGAACUCGCAUACCCUCUUGUCAGGCCUAGGAAGGUGUCGUGGAAUGUGGAAGGGGUCUAGUCUUGGAGUUGGGGCCUUCACCUCAAGCCCUGCCUCUAUCCCUCACCAGGUGGGGGUCCCUGAGCCCUCAUUCCUCAUUCGUGAGCAGAGGGCAGUGAAGAACAUGACGGCCACUAGAGCAGUGUGGGCUCUCUGAGCCAGCACUUCACGCGCCAUCACCUUUGCACCAUCACAGCAACUGCCGGCACGAUGAAACAAAGGGAAAGAAACAGCCCGUUAUCUCAGCUUACCGCCUCCUUCCUUCAGGCCGUGAGUCUCUGGCAGGCCGCAGGAGGAAUGUCAACCUGAUUUUCUUCAGCAGCCUUCCCUCCCAGGGAACCGCACCGCAUCGUUCCUUGGGAGGAAGGAGGCGGCCCAGGGUGGGGGCGGGCCCAGAGCUCGGCUCCGGGUAGUGUCCAUCGUGCAAGGAAGGCCUCAUGAACAGCGGCUUCCCGCUUUGGGAUGCAGGUGGAGGAAGAACUGGCUGCUUUUUCCCCUUGUUGUUUAGAACAUUUAUAAAACCUGUACGGACAGAGGCGAAGUAACUCCCCUACCUCAGGGUGGCUGCGGGUGGCUCAGGGUGGGGCCAGGAAAGUCUGGACUGAACCUCUAGUCUCCCUGUGGGGGCAACGCCCUAGGGACAGGCCCUGGAAGGAAAUUCCAUUCAGCAGGUGGAACAUGAUGGCUGAAGGCGCCUCGAGGACUCCAGGUGCCGAGAGCGACUGGUUAGGAGUGCUGGCCCCACUCUCUCAAGAGUCUGAGAUCUCAGACAACGGACUUAAUCUCCCGGACUCUCAGCUUCUUGAUUCAUAAAUGGGGAUAGAAUAUCACUCUUAAAACUUUGCUGGUGAAUAAUAAAGGAGAUCAUAUGUGUACAGCAUUGAGCAGUCUAGCACACAGCAGACACUCUUUAAAUGGUAUUUUAGUCAUAUGAAGAAUAUGCACUAUGAGGCAAAAUGUAGGGAGAGAGCCUCACUGGGGUUUUGUCAUUGACUUGCCACUUUAGGGGAAAGGGGACCUUCUGAGAGGAGGAGAUGAGGGCAGCCCACCUUUUGGAGGAGCCGAGGCAUAAGCUGAGAUCUGAAGGCUCAGUAAGGGCCGGAGCUGGACCCCGGGCUGAAAGAAGACCAUGCACAAGGGCAUGGAGACCCACGAGCUGGGUGCUGGAACGGUACUGCAGCGGCCUGCUGUGGCUGCGGGCAUGGGGUGAGAGGCACGGCUGUAGAAGGGGGGCCGGAGCAGGCAGCCGGCAACCACUUUCACAAACAGUUCUGAGGAAGAUUCAUUUGGGGCUGCAGUCAAAGUGGCGGCCUCUUGGAGAAAGAAGCUUCUGGCACCUUCUAGGAUUGUUUGAGCAAGAUUCCAGACUCCAUAUCCUCUUGGUUGGCUUUUGAAAUAUCUUACUGUGACAGGGAGUGUGUGAAGGGCUGAGAAGAGAGGAAUCAGAAGCUGAGAACUCCUUCCAAGAAGAUGUGUUUUCCCAACUGACUCCUUGCUGCUGUAAGUGAAAAUUGCUGAGAGAGCUUGUUCUUGGGUGUGCUCGUAACAGCUCCCCCAGGGUCCUGGCUGUGAAGCCUGAUGAGCUCCUUCUUCACAGCUGUCCAGGAAACCCAGGGCUGUGUGGCUCCCUGAGGCCAGCCCUGUGACCGCUCGGCUGUGGAGGAGGGCUGGGAGACAGAGGAGAAGGCAACACACUUACAAAGGUGUGAUUUCUCUUUGUUCAUCUCUGCCUGUGUUUAUACUCAGGCUCACUGAGGGAAUAAAUCAUGAGUGACGUCAGCAACCCGGGGAGUUUGACUCCUGAGUCAUCCUCGAGGGAAGAGGGCAUCUGGUUAAUUGAAUUCUAUGACUCCAAUUGAGUUACCACAGUGACAAAGGAUGGAUGUGCCAGAGCUGAGAGCAUUAAGACAUUGAAAGAGUGCACUUAACACUCGCACUCCACAAUGGGGAUUAGGUCUUUCUUCUAGGACUCAAGGAAACCCACUAGCUGGCAAGGCCUGAGUCAUUAUAACCGGCAUCAGGUUUCACUGCCCAGGAUUCUAGACAGAAAAGGUACUGGAGUUUUAACUAAAUCAACAGCUUCAUGCAUGUCUUGGCUCAAAACCCUUCAUUG